rnacentral:rRNA from 1 species
CCGCACCUCAAGUGGUCAGGAUGAUUAUUGGGCCUAAAGCAUCCGUAGCCGGCGCUGUAAGUUUUCGGUUAAAUCUGUACGCUCAACGUACAGGCUGCCGGGAAUACUGCAGCGCUAGGGAGUGGGAGAGGUAGACGGUACUCGGUAGGAAGGGGUAAAAUCCUUUGAUCUAUUGAUGACCACCUGUGGCGAAGGCGGUCUACCAGAACACGUCCGACGGUGAGGGAUGAAAGCUGGGGGAGCAAACCGGAUUAGAGACCCGCGUAGUCC